CCGCGCCUGGGGAUGAUCCAUUUCGCGUUUGCUGGGGUUAAGCCGCGAUGCCGGUUCGACACCGGUUGCGCGGC
rnacentral:tRNA from 1 species